GCCCCACAAAAUUAACUUGACAAGAUUUGGUGGUAAGUUGCCCAAGUUGUGAUAUUCUGGUAUGGCUCCGCCUAACUCUAACUUGGUCAAUUGACGGCAACGAGAAAGUGGCUCCAAAUUCGAAAAGCUGCCAAGAANAGCUGACAAGAAUCCUCAUCUUCAAGGAACGAAGACGAUCCCAUCCAAAAAUGGAAAAAUUCAGAACGGCCCCUACUUCCUCUGUUUCCUGGAAAUAUAUUCCUAUAUUUCGAAGAUUAGUCAAUUUCUGCAUUGCACCUUCUCUGAUUAGAUUCUUG
rnacentral:misc_RNA from 1 species